GGGCCAUUAGCUCAGUUGGUAGAGCACCUGACUCUUAAUCAGGGUGUCGGGGGUUCGAGUCCCUCAUGGCCCA
rnacentral:tRNA from 1 species